UGGGGAAUAUUGCACAAUGGGGGAAACCCUGAUGCAGCCAUGCCGCGUGUGUGAAGAAGGCCUUCGGGUUGUAAAGCACUUUCAGUGGGGAGGAAGGGUUGAUGUCUAAUACGUAUCAUUAUUGACGUUACCCACAGAAGAAGCACCGGCUAACUCCGUGCCAGCAGCCGCGGUAAUACGGAGGGUGCCAGCGUUAAUCGGAAUAACUGGGCGUAAAGCGCACGCAGGCGGUUAGAUAAGGCAGAUGUGAAAUCCCCGGGCUCAACCUGGGAACUGCAUUUGAAACUGUCUGACUAGAGUCUUGUAGAGGGGGGUAGAAUUCCAGGUGUAGCGGUGAAAGGCGUAGAGAUCUGGAGGAAUACCGGUGGCGAAGGCGGCCCCCUGGACAAAGACUGACGCUCAGGUGCGAAAGCGUGGGGAGCAAACA
rnacentral:rRNA from 1 species